UAUCACAAGGAGUUUUCCUUGGAACAUCUUAAUGGUCAACCCAUUUGAUUUCAGCCUCACACCAUCACAGAGAUUCUUGAAGGGAAUUCUGGUUGUUUUCACUUUGCUAAUAGUCCAUUAACAUCAGCUUAUUGAUUUGAGGAUACUUUAGUUCCUUGAAAGAAAUCACUUGGAGCCAAAAAACAUGGCUUCUACUCCUGGUUUGCUGUAUCCAGUCCUGAGGCCCUGGGCAACCUUUCACUUUUGCCUCCCGUUGGACAAACCCGGCUGGGACUCAGUUGCCAGCAGAGUCUGAGAGCCACGCCUGCGGAAGUCACAUUCCUAAGAACGGAAGAUACAGGUGGCAGACAGGUACAUCUUAGAAUCAGCAGGCCCAGGAUCAUUACAAACGUUGGUUAUGCCAAUGAAGACAGUGACGUUGGAGACUGCAUGUUGAAGACAGUAGAAUUCUCAACAGCUUCGAUUUUUAGAAUUGAGCCAUUGACAUCCUGAAAUCCUCAUCUUGCACCAUUAUGUGAAACAGAAAUCAACUUCUCUGUUUUCUUUUUCUUCAGUCACUAAUUUUGGGGCAUUUCUGUUAAAGUAGCUUCACCUACCCUACUACAACUAAUGUGUAAUAAAUACUUGUUUGAAUGUAUGGAUAGAUGUUUUCAUAGAUGGAUCCAUGAAGUAAAG
rnacentral:lncRNA from 1 species